rnacentral:rRNA from 1 species
GAAUAGCUCUUGGAAACGGGUGGUAAUGCUGGAUGCUCCAACUUGACGCAUGUCUUGUUGGGAAAGUGUUUAGUGGCAUGGGAUGGGGUCGCGUCCUAUCAGCUUGUAGGCGGGGUAAUGGCCCACCUAGGCUUCGACGGGUAGCCGGCCUGAGAGGGCGGACGGCCACAUUGGGACUGAGAUACGGCCCAGACUCCUACGGGAGGCAGCAGCC